rnacentral:lncRNA from 1 species
AGCAAUUGGGAGGCUGAGGCAGGAGGAUCACCUCGGGGUCAGGGCCAGCCUGAACUACAGAGGGAGACCCUGCCUCAAAAAUCCAAAAAAGAAAAAAGAAAAAACAAAAAUAUCUAUGUUUCUUAAAGCACUUAUUAUGUGAACAUUCCAGGGUGGAUUUAGGCUUAUUAUGUAAUGCAUAUCUUUUUAUGUAUGAUGUACCCCUUAUGUCCAGUGAUGACUCCAUCAUCUUUUGUUUGUUUUUGUUUUCUAAGACGGGGUCUCAGAGUGCUGGGAUCACGGGUGGCAUGUGCACCAUGCAGGGCUCUCCACCAUCUUGAUAAGUGAAUUCGGUUAACUGUUGUUAACUUGGUUUUGUAAAAUAUUAGAGGAUCUUUGUCUCUAGGUCUAUAGGCCAUCAGCAAAAUUAUUUUGAAGAUUUGAAAAAUGCCCCCUAUUUAUGAUUUUCAAACUUUUAUUUCUGAAUUAAAAGGAUCAUUUUUCUAUUUUACAUGUUAGUUUUAUAAAACUGUCAUAAAGCAUUAGAGCAACUUAAUUUUUUUGCCAGGUUAUCACUGGGCAUAUGUGACUGUUGAACAUUGGAAAUUGUAUAGCAUGACUUAGGACCUGAAUUCUUUUUUUUGAUACCAGGGAUCGAACUCGACCUUGCGCUUGUGAGGCAGGCGCCGGAACCACUGAAAUCUCCAGCCUCUGAAUUCUUACUUUUAUUAAUAGUUUACUUACUUGCUUUAGAUUUGAAAGCUGAUACUUGACUCAGUUAUUGGACAAAUUUUAAGUAUGUUUUCAUUGCUACAAUCUUGUAGGUAUAAUAGAAUUUCCAGGUUGUAACAAUGAAAGCUGUAGUUCUGUCUCAUCCUAUUUUAAAUGUCUAGAUGUAUUUAUAAAACUAACAUUUUCUUUAACUCUAACUCAAAGAUAUUUUUGACACUGUGAAUGGCACAUAUGUAGCUUAUGUGGAUUUAGCACUUCACCAAGAAGAUAUGUACAAUGAACAGCAACAGGAGCCAGCCAAGAUUUCUUCCUUUACCUCAAUGAAAGUGUCUCCAGACCUGGAUGUUAUAGUGAUUGUCAGCUCCAACUCUGCAGUUGCUCUUAACUUAAAUUUAUAUUUCAGGCAACAUCCAGGAUACUUACUAUGUAAAAGAACAUUAGAAGACCUUCCUGUUCAAGGACUUAAGGGGAUAGAUGAAGAUGAUCCUGUUAACUCUGUCCACAGCAUGAAACUGACCAAGUUUUCCUUCCAAGUUGAUAGGUCUUGGAAUGCCCAGCUAUUAUCAUUGAAUGAAAGAAUAAAGAGCUCCAAACUAGAGAUUUCUUGUUGUGCUCCAUGGUUCCAGGAUAUUUUACAUUUGGAGUCUCCUAAAUCUGGUAAUCGUGGUACCAGUGUACCAAGCUGGGUUUUUGUUUCACAGGACAUAAUGCGGGACCAGUAUAAUCUUCCACAGAAAGAUCAUGCCCAGACCAGUGACCCUGGAAGAUUCUGGAAAAUAAUGCACCUCAGUGAACAAGAGGAACCCACAGAACUUAACUGUGUGUCUGUGACAGGAUUCACUGCACUGUUUACUUGGGCAGUGGAAAUGAGUGACAAGUACACCAUUCUCCUCUGGGAUUUGGAGACCCAGGGGUUGCAGUGUUUCUCUCUUGGCCAGAAGUGUAUUCCUGUAGACAGCAGUGGAGACCAGCAGCUGUGCUUUGUUUUGAUGGGUAAGACUGUCUUGUAUCAAUCAAGUUGAAACACAUACUGAGGGCUGUGGUUUCUUAAUAUAUUUUACUUCUGCCCUGGUCCCUACACUUGGCUUCUUUUCCCUUGAGGUGGUAAUCAUCCAUGGAUGAUAUCUGGUCUUCGUCUUGGUAGCAUUGUCUCAUAUUUUGAUAUUUAAUUAAGAUCAUUUCUCUCCAGCUAAAUGCUAAGUUUAAGAGUAAUGAAGGCGACUGGGGAUGUAGCUCAGCUCCGGUGCACCUACCUGGCAAGCAUUCAAUCCCUGGUACUGGGGAGAAAAAGAGUAAUGAAAAUUAAAAUUUUAACCCAGAGAAUCUUAAUUUGACUUCAGUUCGUACAAUCAGUGGUUGCAAACUGGCUGCUCAUGGACCAUGCAUGAAGUACAAAUUUAUUUUGUUUAGUUGGUACUAUCUAGAUUUGUUUAAAAGAAUUAGAAGAUUUUACACAAAAUCUAGAUUUCCAGGUAUUACUGAUCUAACAAUACUAGGCUAGUAUUCCUGCACAGGAACUUAAAAGUUGAACCUAAAUUUCAAUUGUUUUUUACGAUGGGGCAUUUUAUUUCUGUUUAUCUUGCACUCUACUUACUACCUCAUGGCCCAUAGGUGUUUUGAUGUGUCACAUAUGCUUCAUUGAGCACUUAUCCUGUAACUUAGAAGGGUUGUGAUUGAACUGUUUCUUCUUCAGUACUCAAAUUUUGGUAAUCAUGUAUUUGUGUGUCAGGAAUAUGAUUUUUUUUUUUUGGUACCAGGGAUCAAAUUCUGGUCCUUGCACUCACAGAGCAGGCAGCAGCACCACUGAGCUAAAUACCCAGCCCAGGAGGAUGCUAUUUUAUUUUUGUUUUGUUUUUUAUUUUUUUGUUUUUGGUACUGGCGAUCGAACUCGGGUCCUUGCGCUUGCGCAGCACAUGGCGAAACCACUGAGCUAAAUCCCCAGCAAGGAUGCUAUUUUAUUAUAGUAAACUAUAAACCUAACAUCACUGUAAAUAAUUAAAGGUUCCAGGUAUCAGUUGUACAAGAUAAUUUAAGAUAGAAAUGUGAAAUUCAGUGCUGUUUCAUAGGAUGCAUUUUUUUGUUGCUGCUUUUUGUGGUACUAGAGUUUGAACCCAGGGCCUCACUUAAGCUGUGUGAGCACUCUGCCCCUGAGCUACAUCUCAAGCCCCACUUCAUAUAAGAAUUUGCUUGUGAUUAUUAUUUUAAAAAUAAAAAUCUUGAAAACAUUAAAAAACCAUGAGUUUAAAGUCAUAAUACAUGAUAUCCAGUAAAUAUAUUUAUAACUACAAUACUGAAGUUUUAAAUAAUUAGAGAUUCCUAGUUCUAAAACCUGUCCUAGUAAUUUAUGAAAUCUAAUUUUUAUUUUUCCUGUAGAAAAUGGACUCUCUUUGAUUUUGUUUGGUUUGACUCAAGAGGAAUUUUUAAACAGACUAAUGAUCCAUGGAAGUGCCAGCAUUGUGGACACUCUUUGUCAUCUCAACGGGUGGGGGAGGUGCUCAAUUCCCGUACAUGCACUAGAGGUAACAGAAUUAAAUGUCUGUAGAACUUUACUUGCUGACACUUACUCUUUUUUUGAAUGAGGAUCUGAGAGAAUUCAUUUAGCCUAGCAGCAAAAAGAACUAAUCUUUACCCAUUCAUUUGCUCUGGUCUGUUUCCUUUCUCUAACUGCUUAGUAGUUUACCCUUUUUGAUUUUAAAAGAUAAGAGAUAUGAUAGGCUGGGGAUUUAGCUCAGUGGUUCCACUGCCUGCCUGAAAGCACAAGGUCCCGAGUUGAUCCCUGGUACCAAAAACAAAAAAGAUAAGAGGUGAUAAGAGAUUACAGCCAGGCAUAGUAGUGCACACCUAUAAUUCCAGCACUACAGGACUGCUGCAGAUUCAAGGCCAACCUGAGCUACAUAGUGAGUCCAAGGCCAGCCUGAAUUACACGUGAGACCCUAUCUCAAAAAAAAAAACCAAAAAACCCCAAAAAACUAAAAGUGAAAGCAAGCUCUGGAAAGCUUGAGUUUCUGUUUUGCUACUUGUUUCCUUAUCCAGCUUUAGAAAAUAUAACCUGAGUUUAUAUAACAUUUUAUAAUUCACACAUACUCAUAUUUAUUAUCAAUUUUUGUCCUAAAAACAAAAUUGCAUGUGAUAAAUUGGGUAGUUUUAUUGUCUUCAUUUAAUAGAUGAGGAAUCUUGGAGUCAGAAUGGUUGAGUGAGUGACCCAAAGCCAUAGGAAUAAAGACAGACUCUAGAUUCAAAGUCAGGACACUUUCUGCAGUGCUACACAGUGCCCAAAAGACAGUAAUCUUAUGUUCCAAGGGUUUUUUAAAAUGACAGCUUUUAUGAGCUAUAAAUAAUGUAUAUACCAUAAAAUUCAACCUUUUAAACUUUACAAUUUUGUGCUUUUUAGUAUAUUCAGAAUUGUCCAGCCAGCACCAGUAAUUCCAAAACAUUUUCAUCACCCCAAAAAGAAACCCCAUACCCAUUAGCUUUUUUUUUUUUUUAAGUGCAGGCUGCCCUUGAACUCACAGUGAUCCUCCUGCCUCAGCCUCCUCAGUGUUGGGAUUACAAGCAUGUGCCACCAAGCUUGGCUCCCAUUAGCAUUUAUUUUCUAUUUAUUCCUCACUGCCCCCAAGUCCCAAACCCUAAUCUAAUUACUGACUCUAGUUUUUCCUAUUCCAUACUUUUCGUAUAUAUGGAAUUAUGUUUUCAAGGUUCACCUGUGUUCUAGAAUGUAGCAUCUAGAUUCACCAACUGUUAAUAUUUUACCACAUUUGUUUUGUGUGUACUUUUUUCAAUCCAGCUAUAUCAUUUGCUAUGUUGCUUCCAAGCUUUAGCUAUUAUGAGUUGUAUUGCUAUAAACAUAAGUUAGUAUGUAUCACUGUAAUGUGCUGUCUUUAACUCUUUGAAGAAGAUCCCUACAAGAGGAAUAGCUCGGUCAAAUAGGAUUUCUGUGUUUUGUUUUGUUUGUCUGUUUGUUUUUUGUUACUGGGGAUCGAACUCGGUCCUUGGGUCCUUGCGCUUGUGAGGCAGGUGGCAGAACCACUGAGCUAUUUGUUUUGUUUUUUGAGACAGGAUCUCACUAUGUAGUUCAGGCUGUCCUUGAGCUCACUAUGUAGCCCAGGCUGGCCUCAAACUUACUCACUCUGUAGAGGCUGGCCUCAAACUUACUGCAGUCCUGCCUCAGCCUCCCAAGUGCUGGGAUUACAGGUAUGUGCUACCAUGCCUGGAUGAUUUCUUGAUGAUAGCCAUUCUUUCUAGAGUAAAGUGGAAUCUCAGUGUUGUUUUUAUUUGCAUUUCUCUCGUGAUGAUGAACAUUUCUUCAUGUAUUGGCCAUUUGUACUUCUGAGAAGUGUCUAUUAUUUCACUUGCACAUUUUUUUAUUGAGUCUUAUUUUGAGGUCUGUAUAGUUUUUGAGAUUUUAAUAUAUUCUAGAUGUCAGUCCUGUGUUGGAGGAGUAGCUGGCAAAAUUGUUCUCCAAUUCUGUAGGUUGUCUCUUUACCUCUGUUGUUUCCUUUGCUGUGCAGAAGUUUUUUUUUUUAAUUUAAUGUAAUCCCAUUUGUUGGUUCUUCAUGUUAUUUUUUGUGCAGUUGGGGUUCUGUUCCAAAAGUCCUUGCCUAUGCCUGUGUCUUCAAGAGUUUUAACGUAUUUUAUCUUCUAACAGAUCAAGUAUUUCAGUUUUAAUAUUUAGAUCUUUGAUCCAUUUUGAUUUUAGUUUGGUACAUGGUGAGAGAUACGGAUAUAGAUUCAAUCUCCUGCAUGUGGAUAGCCAGUUUUCCUAGUACCAUUUAUUAAAGAGGCUAUUUUUCUUCAUGUUUUUGGCCCUUUUGUCUAAUAUCAAAUGACUUAAUGUGUCUGAGGUUGUUUCUUCAUCUUCUGUUCCGGUGAUCCACAUGUCUGUUUGGUGCCAGUAUCACGCUGUUUUUUAUCACUGUAGCUUUGAAGUAUAACUUGAAGUCUGGGAUUGUGAUGCCUCUUGUUUUGCUCUUGUUGCCCAGGAUUGCUUUUGCUAUUCUGGGUCUCUUCUGGUUUCAUAUGAAUUUUAGGAUUAUUUGUUCUAGUUCUGUUGGUAUUUUGAUUAGGAUUGCAUUAAAAAAAUAUAUAUAUAUGUAUAUAUAUAUAUGUGUGUGUAUAUAUAUAUAUAUGUAUAUAUAUAUACCCACACAUAUAUAUAUAUAUAUGAGUUUUAGCAGUACAG